rnacentral:rRNA from 1 species
AAGUCAGAUGUGAAAUCCUAUGGCUUAACCAUAGAACUGCAUUUGAAACUACUACUCUAGAGUAUGGGAGAGGUAGGUGGAAUUCUUGGUGUAGGGGUAAAAUCCGUAGAGAUCAAGAGGAAUACUCAUUGCGAAGGCGACCUGCUGGAACAUUACUGACGCUGAUGCGCGAAAGCGUGGGGAGCAAACAGGAUUAGAUACCCUGGUAGUCCACGCCCUAAACGAUGAAUGCUAGUUGUUGUGGAGCUUGUCUCUGCAGUAAUGCAGCUAACGCAUUAAGCAUUCCGCCUGGGGAGUACGGUCGCAAGAUUAAAACUCAAAGGAAUAGACGGGGACCCGCACAAGCGGUGGAGCAUGUGGUUUAAUUCGAAGAUACGCGAAGAACCUUACCUAGGCUUGACAUUGAUAGAAUCUGCUAGAGAUAGCGGAGUGCUGGCUUGCCAGAGCUUGAAAACAGGUGCUGCACGGCUGUCGUCAGCUCGUGUCGUGAGAUGUUGGGUUAAGUCCCGCAACGAGCGCAACCCUCGUCCUUAGUUGCUAACAGUUUGGCUGAGCACUCUAGGGAGACUGCCUUCGUAAGGAGGAGGAAGGUGAGGACGACGUCAAGUCAUCAUGGCCCUUACGCCUAGGGCUACACACGUGCUACAAUGGGAUGCACAAAGAGACGCAAUACCGCGAGGUGGAGCAAAUCUCAAAAACAUCUCUCAGUUCGGAUUGUAGUCUGCAACUCGACUACAUGAAGCUGGAAUCGCUAGUAAUCGUGAAUCAGCCAUGUCACG